ACUCGAGUCUUUGACGCAAGUUGCGCCCAAAGCCAUUAGGCUGAGGGCACGCCUGCCUGGGUGUCACACAUCGUCACCCCCCUGCCCGCCACACUUAACUAAAUAAAUGUGCAGCAGGGGGUGCAAGCUGACCUCCCGCGAUACUUCCUCGUGGUUGGUUGAAAAGCAAGUUCGGGGCGGAGUCUCCCACGAUAACGGUGGAUGAGCCCACGCUCGAGACCAAUCGUGCUUGUGCGACUCCGACGUAAUGGACUUACUGACCCUACACGCGCCCUCUGUGAAAACUGAGUGCGCCAUCUACGAGACCUCAGGUCAGGCGGGGCUACCCGCUGAGUUUAAGCAUAUCAAUAAGCGGAGGAAAAGAAACUAACAAGGAUUCCCCUAGUAACGGCGAGCGAACCGGGAAAAGCCCACCAUGAGAAUCGGUCGCCUUCGGCGUUCGAAUUGUAGUUAG
rnacentral:rRNA from 1 species